UCUCUCCGUACGGGGAAGGAUGAGAAGCUUCGACUAAGGUUCGAUUCGAGCGCAGCGAGAAAGCGUUGCCGUAGGCAACGACCCGAAGGGCGAAGCGCGCAGCGCUGAGUCAUCCUUCCCCCACCACCA
rnacentral:sRNA from 1 species